rnacentral:rRNA from 1 species
CCUACGGGUGGCAGCAGUGGGGAAUAUUGGACAAUGGGGGGAACCCUGAUCCAGCCAUGCCGCGUGUGUGAAGAAGGCCCUCGGGUUGUAAAGCACUUUCAGUGAGGAAGAACGCCUGGUGGUUAAUACCCAUCAGGAAAGACAUCACUCACAGAAGAAGCACCGGCUAACUCCGUGCCAGCAGCCGCGGUAAUACGGAGGGUGCGAGCGUUAAUCGGAAUUACUGGGCGUAAAGCGCGCGUAGGUGGCUUGAUAAGCCGGUUGUGAAAGCCCCGGGCUCAACCUGGGAACGGCAUCCGGAACUGUCAAGCUAGAGUGCAGGAGAGGAAGGUAGAAUUCCCGGUGUAGCGGUGAAAUGCGUAGAGAUCGGGCGGAAUACCAGUGGCGAAGGCGGCCUUCUGGACUGACACUGACACUGAGGUGCGAAAGCGUGGGUAGCAAACAGGAUUAGAUACCCCAGUAGUC